rnacentral:rRNA from 1 species
AACGAACGCUGGCGGCAGGCUUAACACAUGCAAGUCGAGCGAGACCUUCGGGUCUAGCGGCGGACGGGUGUGUAACGCGUGGGAACGUGCCCUUCUCUACGGCAUAGCCCCGGGAAACUGGGAGUAAUACCGUAUACGCCCUUUGGGGGAAAGAUUUAUCGGCGAAGGGUCGGCCCGCGUUGGAUUAGGUAGUUGGUUGGGUAAUGGCCCACCAAGCCGCCGAUCCAUAGCUGGUUUGAGAGGAUGAUCAGCCACACUGGGACUGAGACACGGCCCAGACUCCUACGGGAGGCAGCAGUGGGGAAUCUUAGACAAUGGGGGCAACCCUGAGCUAGCCAUGCCGCGUGAGUGAUGAAGGCCUUAGGGUUGUAAAGCUCUUUCAGCUGGGAAGAUAAUGACGGUACCAGCAGAAGAAGCCCCGGCUAACUCCGUG